UUAUUUGAGAGUUUGAUCCUGGCUCAGGAUGAACGCUGGCGGCGUGCCUAACACAUGCAAGUUGAGCGAUUUACUUCGGUAAAGAGCGGCGGACGGGUGAGUAACGCGUGGGUAACCUACCCUGUACACACGGAUAACAUACCGAAAGGUAUGCUAAUACGGGAUAAUAUAUUUGAGAGGCAUCUCUUGAAUAUCAAAGGUGAGC
rnacentral:rRNA from 1 species